rnacentral:rRNA from 1 species
UACGUAGGGUGCAAGCGUUAAUCGGAAUUACUGGGCGUAAAGCGUGCGCAGGCGGUUUUGUAAGUCUGUCGUGAAAUCCCCGGGCUCAACCUGGGAAUUGCGAUGGAGACUGCAAGGCUAGAAUCUGGCAGAGGGGGGUAGAAUUCCACGUGUAGCAGUGAAAUGCGUAGAGAUGUGGAGGAACACCGGAUGGCGAAGGCAGCCCCCUGGGUCAAGAUUGACGCUCA